rnacentral:rRNA from 1 species
GAGCGGGCAUAGCAAUAUGUCAGCGGCAGACGGGUGAGUAACGCGUGGGAACGUACCUUUUGGUUCGGAACAACACAGGGAAACUUGUGCUAAUACCGGAUAAGCCCUUACGGGGAAAGAUUUAUCGCCGAAAGAUCGGCCCGCGUCUGAUUAGCUAGUUGGUGAGGUAAUGGCUCACCAAGGCGACGAUCAGUAGCUGGUCUGAGAGGAUGAUCAGCCACAUUGGGACUGAGACACGGCCCAAACUCCUACGGGAGGCAGCAGUGGGGAAUAUUGGACAAUGGGCGCAAGCCUGAUCCAGCCAUGCCGCGUGAGUGAUGAAGGCCCUAGGGUUGUAAAGCUCUUUUGUGCGGGAAGAUAAUGACGGUACCGCAAGAAUAAGCCCCGGCUAACUUCGUG